rnacentral:lncRNA from 1 species
GAGUACAGGGGCGCUGGAACCAGCCAGCGAACUCCCUGCAGGCCCCGCGGCACUUUCGGGGGCGGGGGAUGGUGCCUGCGAUCCCCAAAACCCCAAAGGGCGUUUUUUACAGUGCUCUUUUAGCUCUGCUGACCGCGGAUGGCUUAAGUGUUAACAGCUCAGUGGGCCCUUUGCCUUUUCUCAUGAGUCGGCUGCCCUGUGCCAGCAAGGGCAAAGGGCCAGUGUAACAGCCUUUUGUAUCUGCACUCGUGGCUCCUGAGCUCCUGUUCGGCACACAGGAAAAAUGAGGUCGCACCAACAAACUGAAGGAUGGUAAAUGUUGAGGAUUUUAUUGCCAAUGAAAGCGGCUGUCACUGGGAGCUGAAAAGGUAAUGGAAAGCUGAAAAGCGGAUAAGGUGGGUAGGUACCUGAAGUCUGGCCAUCUACGGCAGCUGGAUUCUUCUCCAAAGUUAUACUGUCAAGCUGUCCCUCUGAAGCCAAGCCACUUCUCUUUGACAUCCAGCCGUAGUCUCUGCUCCUCUCCAACUGAGUAUGAGGGAGAUGUUUCCUAUUAUCCUUGAUAAUGUGCCAUGAACAUAUGAAAAAACAUAGAAACAUGAAGAAAACAAGAAGACAAAAAUCACUAACAUCUGGUUGGCUGUAUAGAAACAAAGCUGAUUCUGCUUGCAAAUGGAUCUUACAGACGUUGUCACAGAGACAAGAAAAGCAUAUAAAAAAAUAAAUAAAGAUGAGCUCCUUUCAAGGUGACUGACUAGAAGCAGCUGGUGUGUGCUGCUCUCACAAAGAGAAGAAAGAGUGGUGAGUGGACCAUCCAGGUGGACACAUUGGGAUUCAUCAAGGAAACAAUACACAGAAAACAGAAGAAUGAGACAGGACAAUCAUUCACCCAGAAGUGGCAUAGAGCCGGGAGAUGGCCCUCACCAUGGUUAGUAAGUGAGAGUCCCCAGGGAGUCACAUUUCUGCCACAGACCUUUGCAACCCUGGGCCCAGGCGAUCCCCCAUGACACCCGUGCCCCACCAGGGCCUCUGGACUGACAUAGACAGCUACAUGGAGUGUGGGCAGAACUGCCACUCAGGCACUCAUGAAAUCCUUGGAGCUUUUCAUCCCCAGGCACCCUGGUACCAAUGGCUGCAGCUGCGGCAAUGGGGGAGGACAGGCUCUCUUGCAUGUCCUCAGAAUAGGAACACAAUCCAUGGGGCUAAGCAGUGGGUGGACUGUGGGGCUCUUCUACACAGCCCGUUGCCAGACUGGCCUGGGAUCCUAGCAUGGUCACAAAAGUCCCACCUGGGCUCUUGAGGAACAGAUCUGUACUUCCCUGGCAUGGAACUCCUGGAGGGGAUGGGCAGGCUGCUGUUUUUGCUGCUCCACAGCCCUCACUCCUGUUGCCCUCAGUCUUGGGAGUGAGCACAGUGAUUGGGGACUAACAUAGACCCCCAGCACAGUGUACAGACUUGCAGAAAAGCAGCCAGACUCUUUUCCACAUGGGUCCUCACCCCUGCUACUCUUCACUGGGCAGCACCUCUUGACCUUGGCCCCCAGCACAACCAACCCGCCCCCACAUGAACGCUUUGUCAGUGAUGGCUCUGUGUUUCUCUGAGGAGAAAAAUCCAAAAGACAAUCCAUAAGCCUUCUGCUAUUGCAGCUGCAGUGGUAUGGCCCUUACUACCUUCAGGCUGGGGAAAGAACGAAGGACUUGGUCCUUACACUGGCCCCUCCAGCACACCAUCGCCACCAUAUGGAGAAGAGCCCAGUCUCUCUUCCCCGUAAGCCCCCACUCACCACUGUUCACCAGGCAAGGCCCCUAGUUGGGGACAGCAGAGCAGCUGUCCUACCCCCGGAUGAGAAUUCCCACUGCUAUUGGCUCUAUAUUUUCCUGAGGUGGGCCUCCCAGAAGC